rnacentral:lncRNA from 1 species
CUCUGUUGAGCAAGUCUGUUGCCCACAGGGAUGUGAAGGGGACCAUCUUGUCUCCUUCCAGUUUUGGCCCUGAAGAGGCUACUCCAGAUACCGGACGAAGGAGAGGCCCUCUUUCCCGUAGAACCUACAGAUCUUUCUCCAGAGAAUGGAGGCCCCCAGGAGGGAGAAGAGGAAUGGAAUGGGACGUUCAGGAUUGAAGGAGAUAACAGCAGGAGGCUUCCAGCAGGUUCUUUGAACGGCCCUCCAGAUCCAGAGUGGAGUUCUGAACACCUGGAUAAGGAAAGUCCCCGUUUCUCCAUCGUUCUGUCCCUCCAGCAAUCUGACGGAGUGAAGCAUCACUUAAAGCUUCUAGAAGAUGCAAUUCAGGGUCUGAAGGAUAUAGAAACAGAAUACUGGAGGCUUCAGCAGCUGGUGGGGAAGUUUACGUCAUCUCAACAAUCUGGUUCCACAUGAGACUUGGCCAAGCGAGGUAGGCAAUAGACAACAGCAGGCAAGGGUUGAGAUGCCAACCCCCAUCCCGUGGACCCACAACAAUCAAGGAUGAGAGUUGAGGCUGACUGGCAGAUGCUGGUCUAUUCCUUUGGACAUUUGAAAUAAACACUUUUGCAGGGGAAAAGUAAAAUAGGCCCACAGUUUUAGUCCAGGGAAACUAGGUCCUUCUCUGUGAAAAGUCCCGGAAUCCCUGGUUUUUGUGCUCUUGAAUUACGACCACAUUUGGGACCAGAAGUUCAGCCACUUAGCAAUGUAUUCAUUAAGCAAGUCAUCGCCUGACCGGAUCUGAUUUUACGACAAUUCUACUGCAGUCGAUUAGAGAGUUGUUCCUGUGGUUAAGUGAAGCCUGCGGUUGUAGAGUGAAUUCAUUGUGAAGCUAAUCCAGCUUCACGCACAUACCCCUUUUUGACUUUGCUCAUCAGAAACCAGCCGGGAAGGCCCCCAAUUGCAAUCGUGUGAGCCCAGGAGCCCUUGUGAAUGCAAGCAGUCAGUGACUGCCGGGGGUGGUGCGACAGUCAUAACGUGGAGGGUGGGUUUUACAGAAACGUCACUCCCCCUUUCUCUUUUUCUAGGCUGAUGACCGAUCCCUUUAUGGUUCUAGGCGAUGAUGGCUUUUGUAUCUGAGUGGUUAUUCUUUUUGGUUUUUUUCCAGGCCUUUUGGAAGCAAAUGAAGGAAGAGACUGGGCUAAUCCGUUUAUCCUGCCAGCACGAGGCAACCCCACGGGGAUCUAAGCUACUGCUUGAUUUGUAUAGGGAGCGAUGCUGUGGAUUUUGUACAUAGAAUUUUCUGCCUAAAACACAUUAUAAGGGGAAAUGUUUAGAGCACGGGUAUCCAAUAUUCACAACUUUUAAGACCUUGGGGACUUCAACUCCCAGAAUUCCCCAGCCGGCCAUGCCGGCUGGGGAAUUCUGGGAGUUAAAGUCCACACACAUCUUCAAGUUGCCAAGGUUGGACACCCCUGAUUUAGAGGUCGAAGCAUCUUAUUUAGAAAAAGUCCUGCAAAACCUUUCAGGUCGGAAAGACAGAUGCUUUGGGGUGGAUCACCUUCCCUUUUUAAGCCAGGGAAAUAGUUUACAGUGCUGAUUCUCAGGGGUGACAUAUUACAAAACUGGGAUCUGAUGAUCUUCUCUCUCGGCCAAAAUAGGUGGUUGGGCUAACCAAGAACUCAGAUGCCUGAGACCAGAGUCCAUCAUUCGAUGGGCUGUUUCCUAAGAGGCUCUCAAGAUACCUCAAAGAGGGUGUGUAAGUAGGAGGCGAGUGCAAUUGUGCCUUCCCUCAAAAGUUCAUCCUCAGCUCCCAGGAGUGUAACUCCUCACCCAUUAGCGGUAUUAUCUUCUACACACACAUAUCACUGUUGUUGUUAGAAAAUGCAGUUGCAGUUGCCAAGCUUCCGUAGGCAGGAGAAACAAACUCACUUCUAAAAGCUCUCCUGUUAAUUUUUUUGGAUUAAUAUUUUAUCCUCACAUAGAUGCACAUAGGUAAACCCUGCAGACCUACCUAUUUUUUUCUACCAAUCUUGGUCUGAACUCAUUUAAUAAGGUCCCAAGUUUUCUGCCACUUCUUCCUGCCCCGUCAUGCUUUUUCUCCAGCCUGCCAAACCCAACCCAGCUCAACCAUCACCACCGGAAGGGUGAAAUUCUUACAAAAAUGGAAUAAGAUAGGUAAAAGUUCAGGUUGGUACUUUCUCCAUGACACACCUUAAAAAAAAAACAAAAAACCUGUUACCUCCAGUCUUCCUGGCCUCCAUAUCUUGCAAAAAGGUUGGGUCUACAUUGAAUGACCCACCACACAAGCCAUGUUAGCUGGGGACUUCAGGAAACUGUCCUCUCAGCUUAUCUUGAGGGCUCCUCAGGUUAGCGAAGGCAGGUUGCCAACGAUGGACCUGCGGGCUGCAAUUCUAAAGAACUUCCAGUCCAAAUAUAAAUGUUUUAAGAUUGGGUGAAAUGUUUCCAUGGUUCUGGGGUUGAAGGGAGUGCCUUUCUGAGUUGCUUUAGAUAUCUCCGAGAACUUCUCCAGCAGGGAGGGAGAUUAGCAACAAGCGUGCUUCCCAGAAAGACUACUUUGCUUCUUGCAGCCAGCCUUCCCUUGGGUACAAACGGAGAUAAUUGAACCUUGAGUGCAAUACAUCCUGAAUCUCUUUGUCUCAACGCAAGGGUUCCCAUCGCCUCAAGCUUAAUUAUUGUUGGGGAGCUGAGCAAGGAAAAAGGUCCCCCCCCCUUUGAAAAGUUAGCCAUUCCUGAAGCUUUCUUCCAAUUAGACCUUUCCUGUUCAUAGGCCCCUCCAUCUUCCGUCAUCUUUUCACUAGAGGGGGAGAAAACAAACCCCAUCCCUUUUGGGAGUGAAAACUCCAAACAGCAUAUCAUGGAUCAGAUCGUGAGUCUGUUGUAGAAGUUGGGACUUCACAUUCAUCCCGUUCAACCUUGAGCCAUCCAUCCCGUGCGCCUUGCCUGCCCCCGCUCGCCUGUCCAUCACAAACCACGCACAAGCAUCCCUUUCUUUUGAACCCUCCCAUAACGCAACGCACGGUGACCUCACGGCUUUUGACCAUCUGCUGUUCUGCACUCUGCUCAGCAGGUGGUGCCCUCACUAUGUGUCUGUGUAGGCAUGCGUGCAGUGCACACCUACAGCCGUUUGCGUGCAUAACAGGUGCUACUUCUUUGGGGUUUUCCGUGGGUUGAGGCAAUUCAUUGUUCAAACCCCGGAGGGAUUUCUCAGCCUCUUUGCAGUGGUUGCAUAAGUGUGUAAACUCGCUGGAUAGAGUUGGUCCCAGGGAACAAACGUGUUUUAAAAGGUCGGGGAAGAUUUGGCUGUGUUGAGAUCCACGCAGCAGCCAAACCUUCCUUUCACUUUUCUUGCUUCCUCAUUAGUUGGGUCUUCGGUUCAGUCAGGAUUGGCGGGUGGGUGGGUUUAGUCAUUGCUAAGCAACCACAAUGUGCUUCCUUGGGAAAAAGAAGUAUUUCUGCACAGAAUGGCAAAUGAUGAGUUAAUUUGGGGAGAUAACAGGGAAGUUUCUGAGAAAGAAAUUGAAUCCAUUCAAGAGGAGAGGAAAAAAGUUUUCAUAUAGGGGGGAGAAAAGUGUUGGUGCCUAACCCACCGAGGGAAUAUAGAACAGGGGGAAGAGGUGAGAGCCCAAUGCACCAGCAUCUUCAGAGACAGGCCUUCAUCUAAUUGCUUCCAAGUGUUUUUAUACUGUCUUGAUAAUGUGCUUGUAUUUUAAGAAAAACUUGUUUCUUUUUUGGGGGGAACUGGGAAACAGUUCCGAUGUUAAGGGAAUGAUGAGGAAUCCAGGGCUGUUUUAUGUAGAGUGAGAUCAUGUUUAGUUGUGUCUAUUUUUUUUUUUAAAUCCAUUGCUGUACAAAGCGUGUAAACCGAUAUAUUCCAUGAUUUUUUUUCUUCUUUGACCUCCCAGUAUUAUGAAGUAUAAAGUUUUAAAAGGGAUGGAGAAAAGGAUGUUGGUUCGCAGCUGAUGUCUUUUGCAGUGUUAAGAAAUAUUCUCAAGAUCGCCCCGUUAGAAACUCCCUCCCCUACAGAUAUUUCAGUUACAUUUCUGGCUUUCCUCUCUUGUUUUAGGGCAGAAAUGAAAGAAUACAUUUUUCUUUUGCAUUUCUAUAAUCAGCCCAUGCUGUGCUCUGUGUUUCUUGCAUAGUUGUACCAUAGAAGAAAAUGUGAUGAUGACUGCAUAUUUUAUGCCUCAAAACAGACAUGAAAAGCCAUUUCCUAGUUUUGAUGAAAGUGGAGAAAAAUGUUGGUGCACAUUCAGGAUUCCUGGCAGAACACUUUUGGUGCAUAGCUCUAUUUUAUUUUACCUGCUUGCUUGUGACUGGGUCAUAGUCCCCAAUUCCAAACUCUUGGGAAUAGAGAAGCUUAACCAGUGAUGUGAAAUCCUCCGUUUGCCAAAUUCAGUAUUCUUAACCAGAGUUCAAAAUCCAGUGGUUUGGGGAUAAAUAUCCAUUAUAUUAAUGAAGAUCCUUAUUAUAGGGACGGGCUAUUUUGCAGUCUUUAUCUGUAGAUGAUUUUACUUGCUACACCGUACAUUAGCUCAUAACUUCCUGAGAAUCUGGAUGCUGGUAUCGUUUAACCAGCUUCAACAAUUUGCUCUGGCUUUAUUUUGCUCUUAUCAUUCGCCCGCCCCAAAAUAGCAGAAAUUUUAAAAUUGUAAAUACCAUUUGGGACCAAAAUAUUUAAGGCUACUACUGCUCUUUUUCCAAGCUGAGCCGGACAGCUUAAAGAUUCUUAAAUAUUUAUUUGUACCUGUUCUCUCAAUUCUAUACCCGUCUCUUUGUCUAUUUGUGUUUGAAAUUUUCUGACCUGGGAAAACAUCUGUAAAUGGAUGUGCAAUUUUUGUUCUUCAAACCCAUCCUGGACAAGUGGCACCAAGUUCACCUUAGUCCUACCUUUUCUUGGAGUUUCAUGGUCAAUGGUCUUGAGAAUGUUUUCAUAAUGGUGACAUGGUAGGUUAAUGCUCAGUUAGUUGAAUGUUUAAUUGUGGAUAUCAGUUCACAUGUAAAGCAGAAGGCAGGCUGGCUUUACGGAGCAGUUUUUGAUAAGAAAGCAUCAUGAGAAUGGUAGAAAGGAGGAAGGCCUCUUGAGAACGAAGCCCGACAAGGUUGUCAUCUGUUUAAUGAUGGGAUGAAAAGGCAGGGUUAGGGUAUUACGGGAUCUUGCAACGUUUCCUAUCCUUCCUUAGGAGCAUAGGGGUUUGAGAUUCCUGUCUGCAUGCAUCCCAUCAUUUUUAUUAGCUUCCUUGGUCUAAUCCUGUCUACAUCUGCUGGACUGCAACUCCCAGAAUUCCUUCUAGCAAAAUGUAUAGGAAUUCUGGAGGGAUCUAAGGUAGAAAAGAUGUGAAAAUUACGUAAGUUGCAAAAGGGGUAAAGACAGAUGAGUAAACCAAAGACAAUCUUGUAAAAAAAUAUAAAUAAUAUUCAUAUAUAUAAAUAUAUAUAUAUAUAUA